rnacentral:rRNA from 1 species
AAUGAACGCUGGCGGCGUGCUUUACACAUGCAAGUCGAGCGAGGCGUGUAGCAAUACACAGUCGAGCGGCGAACGGGUGAGUAACGCGUGGAUGACCUGCCCUUGAAUGGGGGAAUAACCCGGGGAAACUCGGGCUAAUACCGCAUACGACCGAGAGGUGAAAGGGGGCUCGCAAGGGCUCUCGUUCGAGGAGGGGUCCGCGUUCGAUUAGCUAGUUGGUAGGGUAAUGGCCUACCAAGGCGACGAUCGAUAGCCGGCCUGAGAGGGUGAUCGGCCACACUGGAACUGAGACACGGUCCAGACUCCUACGGGAGGCAGCAGUCGGGAAUAUUGGUCAAUGGGCGAAAGCCUGAACCAGCAACGCCGCGUGCACGAUGAAGGCCUU